rnacentral:rRNA from 1 species
AUACGUAGGGGGCGAGCGUUGUCCGGAAUGAUUGGGCGUAAAGGGCGCGUAGGCGGCGCGGUAAGUCUGGAGUGAAAGUCCUGCUUUCAAGGUGGGAAUUGCUUUGGAUACUGCCGCGCUUGAGUGCAGGAGAGGUUAUCGGAAUUCCCGGUGUAGCGGUGAAAUGCGUAGAGAUCGGGAGGAACACCAGUGGCGAAGGCGGGUAACUGGACUGCAACUGACGCUGAGGCGCGAAAGUGUGGGGAGCAAACAGGAUUAGAUACCCUGGUAGUCCACACCGUAAACGAUGAAUGCUAGGUGUAAGAGGUAUCGACCCCUUUUGUGCCGGAGUCAACACAAUAAGCAUUCCGCCUGGGGAGUACGGCCGCAAGGUUGGAACUCAAAUGAAUUGACGGGG